rnacentral:rRNA from 1 species
AGCGUAGGCGGUCGAUUAAGUUGGAUGUGAAAUACCCGGGCUUAACUUGGGGGGUGCAUCCAAUACUGGUUGACUAGAGUACAGGAGAGGAAAGCGGAAUUCCCAGUGUAGCGGUGAAAUGCAUAGAUAUUAGGAGGAACAUCGGUGGCGAAGGCGGCUUUCUGGGCUGACACUGACGCUGAGGCUCGAAAGCGUGGGGAGCAAACA